GGUGUAGCUCACACAUAGACCAGGUGUAGCUCAGGUGUAGAGAAAGUGCAGCUCGGGUGUAGCUCACACAUAGACCAGGUGUAGCUCAGGUGUAGAGAAAGUGCAGCUCGGAUGUAGCUCACACGUAGACCAGGUGUAGCUCAGGUGUAGAGAAAGUGCAGCUCGGGUGUAGCUCACACAUAGACCAGGUGUAGCUCAGGUGUAGAGAAAGUGUAGCUCGGGUGUAGCUCACACAUAGACCAGGUGUAGCUCAGGUGUAGAGAAAGUGUAGCUCGGGUGUAGCUCACACAUAGACCAGGUGUAGCUCAGGUGUAGAGAAAGUGCAGCUCGGAUGUAGCUCACACGUAGACCAGGUGUAGCUCAGGUGUAGAGAAAGUGCAGCUCGGAUGUAGCUCACACAUAGACCAGGUGUAGCUCAGGUGUAGAGAAAGUGUAGCUCAGGUGUAGCUCACACAUAGACCAGGUGUAGCUCAGGUGUAGAGAAAGUGCAGCUCGGAUGUAGCUCACACAUAGACCAGGUGUAGCUCAGGUGUAGAGAAAGUGCAGCUCGGGUGUAGCUCACACAUAGACCAGGUGUAGCUCAGGUGUAGAGAAAGUGUAGCUCGGGUGUAGCUCACACAUAGACCAGGUGUAGCUCAGGUGUAGAGAAAGUGUAGCUCGGGUGUAGCUCACACAUAGACCAGGUGUAGCUCAGGUGUAGAGAAAGUGCAGCUCGGGUGUAGCUCACACAUAGACCAGGUGUAGCUUGGGUCUAUAAAAUAAGUCUGUAAUUUGUCACAGCUCACCCAGAACCCCCCCACCCCCACCCCAGCAUCCUCCCGAUCAGCUGUUUCAUUUCCUAUAUGUCCCAUAAUGCAACUUUACCUCUGCAGAGGCGACAAGCUGAGAGUAACGUGUGUAAAAUCAGUGGAAUGACCUUUAACCCUUUCACUGUGAGUGUGAGAUGUCUGGAUGAGCUAUUUCAGUCAGUAGUGAUGCUUAUUUAUUGAUUCUGGAUCAAUAAAUCUGAUCACCUCUGUAAACUGAACGUGUUGUAAACAUAAAUCUCUUUUAAAUGUUGAAGUCAUUAUGUACUUGUGUGCUCCUGUUUAUUCAGAAAUCUGUGACAGUUUUAUACUUUAAACUUUCUUUGGUACUUCAGGUGUGUAUUAGAUAAUCUGCUGUAUGAACAGAGUGUGUGUUUGUAUCACAUAAUAAACUCUAAACUAAAAACAUAA